AUCACAGAAUUGUCAGCAAUUAUAUGCUCAAUGCAAAUAAUCGCGUUACAUCUGUGAUAGAGUAAUUAUCGGGAUUAUACUCUUUUCCUAUCUAUCGUUUUGAUAGUUAGAAAUUUGAGGUUCUCGAUGAAUGUUCUUUAAUGAGAGUUAACAAUAGUAUUACAAUACUAUUGUCAUAGUCUUAGAACAAACAUU